rnacentral:rRNA from 1 species
AACGAACGCUGGCGGCAGGCUUAACACAUGCAAGUCGAACGAGAUCUUCGGAUCUAGUGGCAGACGGGUGAGGAACACGUGGGAACAUCCCUUUCAGUUCGGAAUAACGUUGGGAAACUAACGCUAAUACCGGGUACGUCCUUCGGGAGAAAGAUUUAUCGCUGAAAGAUUGGCCCGCGUCUGAUUAGCUAGUGGGUGAGGUAACGGCUCACCAAGGCUACGAGCAGUAGCUGAUCUGAGAGGAUGAUCAGCCACAUUGGGACUGAGACACGGCCCAAACUCCUACGGGAGGCAGCAGUGGGGAAUAUUGGACAAUGGCGCAAGCCUGAUCCAGCCAUGCCGCGUGAGUGAUGACGGCCUUCGGGUUGUAAAGCUCUUUUGUCCGGGAAGAUAAUGACUGUACCGGAAGAAUAAGCCCCGGCAGACUUCGUGCCAGCCGCCGCAGUAA